GAGAAUGCCGGUGUGAGUAGCGAAAGACGGGUGAGAAUCCCGUCCACCGAUUGACUAAGGUUUCCAGAGGAAGGCUCGUCCGCUCUGGGUUAGUCGGGUCCUAAGCUGAGGCCGACAGGCGUAGGCGAUGGAUAACAGGUUGAUAUUCCUGUACCACCUAUAAUCGUUUUAAUCGAUGGGGGGACGCAGUAGGAUAGGCGAAGCGUGCGAUUGGAUUGCACGUCUAAGCAGUAAGGCUGAGUAUUAGGCAAAUCCGGUACUCGUUAAGGCUGAGCUGUGAUGGGGAGAAGACAUUGUGUCUUCGAGUCGUUGAUUUCACACUGCCGAGAAAAGCCUCUAGAUAGAAAAUAGGUGCCCGUACCGCAAACCGACACAGGUAGUCAAGAUGAGAAUUCUAAGGUGAGCGAGCGAACUCUCGUUAAGGAACUCGGCAAAAUGACCCCGUAACUUCGGGAGAAGGGGUGCUCUUUAGGGUUAACGCCCAGAAGAGCCGCAGUGAAUAGGCCCAAGCGACUGUUUAUCAAAAACACAGGUCUCUGCUAAACCGUAAGGUGAUGUAUAGGGGCUGACGCCUGCCCGGUGCUGGAAGGUUAAGAGGAGUGGUUAGCUUCUGCGAAGCUACGAAUCGAAGCCCCAGUAAACGGCGGCCGUAACUAUAACGGUCCUAAGGUAGCGAAAUUCCUUGUCGGGUAAGUUCCGACCCGCACGAAAGGCGUAACGAUUUGGGCACUGUCUCAACGAGAGACUCGGUGAAAUCAUAGUACCUGUGAAGAUGCAGGUUACCCGCGACAGGACGGAAAGACCCCGUGGAGCUUUACUGUAGCCUGAUAUUGAAAUUCGGCACAGCUUGUACAGGAUAGGUAGGAGCCUUUGAAACGUGAGCGCUAGCUUACGUGGAGGCGCUGGUGGGAUACUACCCUAGCUGUGUUGGCUUUCUAACCCGCACCACUUAUCGUGGUGGGAGACAGUGUCAGGCGGGCAGUUUGACUGGGGCGGUCGCCUCCUAAAAGGUAACGGAGGCGCUCAAAGGUUCCCUCAGAAUGGUUGGAAAUCAUUCAUAGAGUGUAAAGGCAUAAGGGAGCUUGACUGCGAGACCUACAAGUCGAGCAGGGUCGAAAGACGGACUUAGUGAUCCGGUGGUUCCGCAUGGAAGGGCCAUCGCUCAACGGAUAAAAGCUACCCCGGGGAUAACAGGCUUAUCUCCCCCAAGAGUUCACAUCGACGGGGAGGUUUGGCACCUCGAUGUCGGCUCAUCGCAUCCUGGGGCUGUAGUCGGUCCCAAGGGUUGGGCUGUUCGCCCAUUAAAGCGGUACGCGAGCUGGGUUCAGAACGUCGUGAGACAGUUCGGUCCCUAUCCGUCGU
rnacentral:rRNA from 1 species